UAGGAGCCGUGACCACCGAGCCUCCGCUCUCUCUCUCUCUUGGCCCUCGCUCACUUAUACUAUAUCUCUAGGGAAACCUAGCUAAGACGCUCCCUCCUCUCCUCUCGCAAUAACAAGACGGAGGAGAGCAAAGCUCUUCUUCCCAAGUAAGUAAGAUAGUGAUCAGGGAGGGAGGGAGGGCAUGCCAUGUGCUUGGCCUUCCAAGUUAAAGGAGCUAGCUCUUUAGACCAGGUAAGGUUUGUUCAUGGCGUCGUGGUUCGAUCGUGCCAACUUGAUAACUCGGUUUGUUCGCGAGACCGUUCCUUUUAGACUUUGGCCAUGGUUUUUUGUUUGUUUGUUUUGUUUAGAUUAGAUCGAGAUGACCCGUACAAACCAACCUCAUGAUUUUUAGAUUAAGCUUUUGAUGUUGCCCAACUUGAUGCAAUUUUUUUUUUGUCGAUUCUAAUUUGCUACAACUAGCUAGUCGCUUCUGCCAUGCAUGCUUCUAUCGGAUGGGUCGAUCGAAGGAGGGUUUUGAGUCCCACUCCCACUUCUUCUUCAUCUUAAUGUUCUUGUAAUCACGCCGAUGCCGAAACCACAUACGCUAUAAAUGAGUUACCUUUGAUUUCAUGCAAUGCACUGAAUUACCUUUGAUCAAUUUAGAGAUUUGUUUGUUUGAUUAAUGAAAAUAUGUAUGUAUGUAUGUUUCCACUGGCUGGGUUGGGCUGGGCUGUUUGGGAACUGGGAUUUUUAAAUGGUGGCCAAUAGUAACUAAAAUUCAUACAAGGUUAAUUACCACACGGACACAGUCAAAGAAGAUAGUAAGUAUAUAUGAAGAAGAAGAGCACAUGUGCAUCGUGGAGGACACAAUCAGAAAGUAAGUUUCUUUGUCACAAUCAUUCACUCCUCAUAUUCUAUAAAGAGCACGCCCACACAGUACCACUCCCAAACACACAGCUAGCAUACAACUCUCUCACACUCAACACACAAUGACUCGCAGCAAGAUGCCUGCACGUAAGGUGAUGGGGGUGCUGCUCUUUCUUGCUCUCCUGUGGAGCAGCCACCUGGUGAUGGUAGCCGAGGCUGCCGAGGAUAUCCUUCCGUCAGACGAGCUGAGCCUUGAGGUUCUUGCACUGCUCGAGGACAUCAUGAAGUCCAACCUGUGCCCGGCAGCAUGCGUGACCUGCUUGUGCAGGUCGGGAAGAGCUGCCCUCUCAUCUUGAUGAUGUUUGCUCCAUGCGUCCUUGGUGAAUAAGACCAAAUUACGUCUCAUCUAAAUGAGUUCUAGGUACUCCCUACAAAUAUCAAGAUUAAACCUAACAACAUUGACCGGAGCACUGCCGCCCGAGAUCCGCCGCGGGCAGGCCCCAGGCCGCCGCCUGGUCGCUCGCCGUGCCUGCAGGUCACGCCGCAGGGAGGCCCCAAGCCACCGUCCGGUCGCCAUUGACCCAUUUGUGCUCGUCGGCGUCCGCGGCGCCGUUAGGGCGCUCCAUGCGGGGAGCGGCGAGGAGCAGAGGCUGCGGAUUCCACCCUCCACCGAGCAGGUGACUCCUCGAGGCGUGGCGGGAGGCGGGGCAGCUCCGGUGGCGAAGGGCGCGGGGCGGGCGGCUCCAGCGGCGACCCGUAGUCUGGCGGCUCCAGCGGCGACCCGUGGCUCCAGCGGCGAAGGGCAGCGGUGGCGGCUCCAGCGGCGACCCGUGGCUCCAGCGGCGAAGGGCAGCGGUGGCGGCUCCAGCGACGACCCGCGGCUGCCGCGGCGAGCGGCUCCAGGGGCGAAGGGCGGCAGGCGACACCCGCGGCCAAGGGCGGCGGCUCCAGCGGCGAGAGGUUUCCGCGGCUGCACCUGCGGCGAAGUGCGGCUCCGGCUGCACCUGUUGGCCACGCUGGCACCUGAACUAUGGGCCCGGCCUGGCAGAAACGUGAUUAACCGCAGUGAAGCGGGCGGUUCCACGACUUGGUAGUUUUUUGCCACUGAUUAGGUAAAAAGUGGUAGUUUUCCACACAAAAUCGUAAAGUGGUAGUUUCUGGCCACGUUUCCAUGAAAUGUGGUAGUUUUUGGUUAAAUACUCCAUCCUUGAGGAAGAUUAUCCAGAUUCGCAAUCUGUAGCAACAUAUUUGACACGUUGGAGUUUCGGUAAACAGUUGAGUUGGAUGGCUUCAAA